AUUCUACACACUAAGUGUAGAAUUCUGUGUGUGAAGGACAUUAUUUUGUGAACAAUGCUUUUUGCCUCUUUCAUGGGGUACAUCCGCUAUUCCCCAUUUUACGAACUUCCGGUAUAUUUUACUAAGGAAUUGUUGGAAAACUCUUUGAGCGGAUGUAGGCCUAGUCAGUCGCCAUUUUGAUCGCCAUUUUGCUCUUGGUUGCGAGUUGCAAAAGCUGUCUACUGUUUGAAGUGUAUUGACGCACUGCAUUUGGUUUGAGACGAUUUGCAAGUUAUCAAGAACAAUUGUUUGGCUGUCGAGUCGCUUUUCUGAAGAUUUCACGUCGAUCUUUAGAUCUAGUGUCUUUGUCUUCCAGAGAUCCAUUCGUUCCUGAGCUGAAGGAGAAGAGUCCUGCCCUCUCGAUCUCUUUGUCUUUGCCGCCGCCAUGGGGAAUUCUUCGUCUCUUUUCACCGCUGAAUCGCUACUUCGUCUAGGUGAGCGUCUUGACUUGGAGGAAGGCCAGUUCUAUGGCCUGGAAGGAGAGUACAUGUUCUGUGGAUUAGAGGCGUUCCACCAGAGGACGGAGAGACACGUUCGACCGGCAAGAGAGGACGAGUCACUGGAGAGCCCGUCAUGAAGCCGGAAGACGUGGUCACUCAGCAGACCUAAAGCCAAGACUGGCCUGAGUCGGAUUUCCAGCAGAGACUGCCACAGUUCCCCUUCCCCAUCCCCUCCCUUGCAGAAGUUGGAAGUACUGGGCCUCAUCGUGGCGCAAGGGUGAACUCCCUGUUCAGACCACAAUACACAUGUCAUGCUGAAACAGGAGCAGACUGUGUGGAGAGGUUUGAGCUGGGUGGCCAACACAGUACUACACUCACCAGUGUGAAGGAUGAAUGGAGAGUCUAUAGGCAA